rfam:Musa acuminata subsp. malaccensis Doubled-haploid Pahang (DH-Pahang) genomic chromosome, chr8
GAGUGCGAUCAUACCAGCAAUAAAGCAUCGGAUCCCAUCAGAACUCCGAAGUUAAGCGUGCUUGGGCGAGAGUAGUACUAGGAUGGGUGACCCCCUGGGAAGUCCUCGUGUUGCACUCC